rnacentral:rRNA from 1 species
ACUCAAAUGAAUUGACGGGGGCCCGCACAAGCGGUGGAGCAUGUGGUUUAAUUCGAUGCAACGCGAAGAACCUUACCUGGCCUUGACAUCCACGGAAUUCGGCAGAGAUGCCUUAGUGCCUUCGGGAACCGUGAGACAGGUGCUGCAUGGCUGUCGUCAGCUCGUGUUGUGAAAUGUUGGGUUAAGUCCCGCAACGAGCGCAACCCUUAUCCUUUGUUGCCAGCGAGUAAUGUCGGGAACUCAAAGGAGACUGCCGGUGACAAACCGGAGGAAGGUGGGGAUGACGUCAAGUCAUCAUGGCCCUUACGGCCAGGGCUACACACGUGCUACAAUGGCGCAUACAAAGAGAAGCGAACUCGCGAGAGCAAGCGGACCUCACAAAGUGCGUCGUAGUCCGGAUCGGAGUCUGCAACUCGACUCCGUGAAGUCGGAAUCGCUAGUAAUCGUAGAUCAGAAUGCUACGGUGAAUACGUUCCCGGGCCUUGUACACACCGCCCGU